rfam:Loxodonta africana unplaced genomic scaffold scaffold_32, whole genome shotgun sequence.
GCACUGGAGGUUCAGUGGUAGAAUUCUUGCCUUCCAUGCCGGAGACCCAGGUUUGAUUCCCAGCCAAUGCG